AGCGUCCCAAAAUGGCGGCGCCGGAGCCGCGCGGGGCCGCCGCUCUCUCCGCCGCCCAGGAAGGAAGGCAGGCAGAGCGGCAGCCUGAGGCGGCAGCGCCUUUAGCGAGGGCUUGUCCUUGGGGAAGGAGCCCCUCCGUGCCGGAGCAGGACGAGAGCCCCGUUAACGCUGCCAGGAAGCGACCCGGGAGGCGCCCCCAGUGAGUGCCGCUGGUCGGGCCUCCUGGGGGCUGGGAACGCCCGGCUGCCUGAGGGCUGGCUACCAAAAAGGUAGGAAAUCCUUAUCAAUCUUUGUUCUGUCUUGGGAUACCUCAGGAGGAAUUCUGCUUUCAUGUUACCAAAGACAAGAAUGGAAGUAGCCUUGUGUGUUGCUUCUCCCUACACUGCUAGAGAUAAAAAGAGCUUCAGGAAGUACAGUAGAGCAUUCACUGUCCUAUUAUCCCUGUCCUGGGCUGCAAACAUUCAACUUCUAAAGCCUUCCCAGGUAGUAACAUCAUCUAUGAAACAGAGUAACAAGGGCUUUAUAGUCCCUUUUGCAUUGAAUACUCAUUACCACUCAGGUAUGAAAUGGUGUUAUUUUAACAACAUGGUAGUCUAUAUUGUGCAUGUGCAUCACAGAAAUGUUAAUUCCACUGUAUCAAAGGUUUCAAUGGUAUUAUUCAUUUUCCAUAUAUGUAAUUCUAGAAUGCAGUUUGGAUGAAUAUGGGCUUUUUUGCCUUCAAAGAUGCAACUGUUUCACCACAAAGGACUAGAGACUGUAUUGUGAAAUAAAAUGAACUUAGGUAACUGAGUAGGACUUUUUCCUUUUCUUCACACAAUAAGGUUGUUUUGUUGAGUACUGCACGUAUCUCUGAGUGUUAAUCAAAGCUAUUUCGUACGUAUGCAAUCAGAUAUAUGAUUUAGCCAUUAUGAUUACCCCAUAUGGUGAUAUAUUAGCCACAAUAACCAUCAAAAUUAUAAUUUUUACAUGGCUAUAUUUGACAUUCAGAUAAAGAUGUUAAGCAUUUAUUCAAACUCAUUUACUGCUGCUGUAUAGUCAACAGGAUAAAAUAAAAACUUGAAAAAUAUGGACAUAAUUGGUGUAGGUCUGCCUUAGCUGAUCAUCUGGAAUCUGAGCUUUACUUUGAAAAUUUGUGAUUAAACUGAAUACAACUCAUUGGAGUUACAAAUACUUAAUGCUCAACUUUAAAACCUACAUUGUAGCAGUGAAAUACUGGAAAGAUCUAAAGUUAAAUUUGAUGUUGACAGAUGCAUACCACUGUUGUCAGAGCUAAGAUUUUUUUUUUUUUAAGUAACUCUGUGUUUUUCAGUCAGUAAAUGGAAGUAUUGACAAUUAACUCAAGGUUUGCUUUUAAUUUUCCUUUUUGGCAUGCCAGUAGAAAAAACAAGAUCUAUAGAGUACUUUUUUUUAAUCUACAAAUGUAUGUGAAUGUGUUUAUAAAUGCUCAGCUCACUAAUAUUCUCAUUUGUCAGUUUUAUCACUCAUGUCAGGAACCCAGCUAUAGAUACAACAGUGUAAAUUCCUGACUUUUUUCAAUUAAAUGGAAGGAAAUAAACUAGAUUAAUGUCAGUAACACUGGAAUAGAUGGGGUUUUAUAACCUUGUCUAUAAUAGCAAGUGAAUUUUCCUUGUGGCUUGGAGCGUGCUCUUUAUGAGCAGCUUGUGUGAAUGAUGAUGACUUUCCUCUCGUGUAGGCCCAGCUGUGACAGCAACAAAAAGAAAGUCAGUGUUAAAAGGCAACAUACUGUUCAAGCACAUAUGUAAUGUUUUCCCAGACAACUCUGGGAAAAUUACUGGUAGUUAGGACUAUUUAUACUCCAUCAUUUCAUAGCUAUCUAGUUUACUAUUCAUGUUAAUUUUUUUGUCUCAGUUGCAUGCUUUGUAAUGCAGAUUUUCUUUUCUUUUUCCGUCUCUGAAAAUGUGAGUUGAACGUGUACUUCUGGAGAGCUUUUGCUAGAGUUUUCAGACAGUCUUAAGUACUGAGCUUUGAACUGUCCUAUUAGUUUUGAUUUCUACAAAAUGUUAAAAUCCCAGUUUAACUUCUAAGCCAUCACUUUUGAAUGCCUGCGCAGUUGGAUGGGUAUUUCUACUUAACCACAUAAUUUAAUGCCUGAUACAUUGUGAUUCUAUGAAUAAAUGAGAAAGAAAACCAG